AGUGUUCAGAGAGGCCUUCUACUUAAUUUUAAAAAAUUGAGAACUUUUUAAUUUGAAAUAAUCAUAGAUUCACUGGAAGUUGCAAAGAAAUGCCUGGGGAUGUCCAGUGCCCCUGUCCCCAACGUGAACAUUUUAUGCAACAGUGCUGUGUCCGCCACAUUGCUGUGGCACCAUCCAUAGACUUAUCCUGAGUUCACCAUUAGAUACGCACUUAUUCGUUGUAUCCCCAUGCAGUUUGACCACACCGUGCUGCGUGGCCUUGCAUAAGCACCAUCACAACCACAAUACCAUGCUGUGUGGUCACCACGGGCCCCAGCCUGUUACCCCCGAUAGCCACACCGUCCUCUCUCCCGUUCCCAACACUGGACAACAGCUAAGCUGCUCUCUUCCGCAAUUCCGCAAUUCCAUAAUUCCAAGAAUGUGACACAAAUGGAAUCAUGGAUGGUCUUCCGUGGUGCGGGUGGACCGGUGUGUGGGAUCGCGCACCCGAUGGCACGACAUCUGGGUGGUCUCCAGUUUGGCCCACGAUGAAGAACGCAGCGAUGCACAGCAUAAGCAGAGGGAGCAGCGGGCAAGGGGAGAAGCAGGCUUCCCGCUGAGCAAGGAGCCCGAUGCAGGGCUCGAUCCCAGGACGCUGGGAUCAUGACCUGAGCUGAAGGCAGAUGCUUAACCGACUGAGCCACCCAGGCACCCCUGCACAUUCGUCUUUACUCAGGACUCCUCCUCAUCUUGAGAACCCGGUGCCUUAGAACACAACCUGAGGCGAAGGUUCUAGUGUAAACAGUCCCUGGGUUUGGCUACAUAGAGCUGCUCUGAACAUGCGUGUGCAAGUUGUUGGACGGACGUCCGCUCUCUCCUCUCUCGGAGAGAGAGUUAACAACAUAAUCCAGGGAGAAAGGCAGAAGAAGAGGGAGAAGCAGGCUCCCUACGGAGCCAGGAGUCUGAUGGGGGCUCGAUCUUAAAACCCUGGGAUCAUGACCUGAGCCAAAGGCUGAUGCUUAAGCGACUGAGCCAUCCGGGCAUCCCCCGCUGAAAAUAAUUUAUAACACAGCUAGCAAUUUAUAUUCUUCUCACGUAUGUUCACAACAUGUAUUUCCUCUUUUCAUCAAUUCAGUGGACAGCAGUGAAAUAAGCAUUCUUUUAUGUCCUUUCUACCUCUUGCUAUCCACUUGGAUAAUUAUGAUAGUAAGAUUAUGUGUUGUAAUUUGUAUAAUCUAGUGAAAUUCGAAUUAGUUCAAUUUGCUUGACUUCAUUUGUUUACACAGGAUGGUGACAUGAGGGGAAAUUCUGUUUAGAAGAAGAACUGAAAGAAUGAAUAAUUAGCUCUGAUUUGUCUUUCCCAACCAAAGACCUAUGGAGCACCUCAGCAUCCUCUGGCUUCCCCCAGGGUACAGCCG